GAAAUGCGAUAAGUAAUGUGAAUUGCAGAAUUCAGUGAAUCAUCGAAUCUUUGAACGCACAUUGCGCCCCCUGGUAUUCCGGGGGGCAUGCCUGUUCGAGCGUCAUUUCACCACUCAAGCCUCGCUUGGUAUUGGGCAACGCGGUCCGCCGCGUGCCUCAAAUCGACCGGCUGGGUCUUCUGUCCCCUAAGCGUUGUGGAAACUAUUCGCUAAAGGGUGUUCGGGAGGCUACGCCGUAAAACAACCCCAUUUCUAAGGUUGACCUCGGAUCAGGUAGGGAUACACGCUGAACUUAAGC
rnacentral:misc_RNA from 1 species